AGCAGUACAUGUACCAUGUUAAAUUAGCUUCGUUGAUGUAAUUUCACAUAAAGAUUGGUUUUAACCCAUCAUUUAUUUUUUCAGGAGAAACUGGAAGAUUGGUUGCGCAAAGGAAAAAAGCUUGUUGAAGAUAAGAUUAAUAACAACAGCUGUAUGUUAUGCCUUGCCCAUUCUAUAUUUUCUGUAACCUGCUUUCUCUUUCUGCACCAUCAUGUUCUGUUUUAUAGCAUUUCUAAUAUUUUGCAUCUUCUGCUUCCUGUUGGUGGCUGAAAGCUUUACCAUUACUAGUUUCAUUCAUUUCUUUUGAACCACCGUAUACUUUAAUUCUACUGUAGUUAAUUGUUUUAUGAUCAAUACUAUUGUUUCCAUUGAAUGUUCAAUUUGGAAGAAGUUGGAUAAACCUGAUUUAAGCUAAACUGGAAUCGACUCUUUUUUCUUAAGAAAUGUGGGAAUGUUUGUUGUGUACCCUGAUAAGAGAAAAAGCUUGUGUUUUGCGGUUAGCAUAAAGGGUCUGCUGCUGUUGCUAUUUUGUUUCUUUCUUUCAUGUUAUUUGUUGAAAAUGGUCUGCUGCUGUUGUUGUUUUAGUAACAGAGUAAAAUGUUGAAAAUGGUGCAGAAGUAAGGGGAUAUUAUUUGUUGCAAUUGAUCAAAAUAGAACUCUUUCAGACCAGGGUCCUUUUGAUAUUGUAUUGCACAAGGUUAGUAGAUAUUUCUCUGUAUAUGUUUAACAUGUCCUUGGAAUCUAUUGCUAGAAUAUACGUUCAUUACUCAUGGGAUACCAAGUUCUAAUUUGUUUUCCUCCUAAUCUGUUUUAAUCCAGUUUUUUAGCAAUGUUGGCGUACGUACUAGUAAAAGUUCUAGCGCUUGGCUAACUUAUUCAUGUUAAAUAAGUUCUAUGAUGCAAUAUAUUUUAAUUGGCAUAUAAGUUAUUCAUGUUAAACAAUUUCAUUACACUGCCGAAUGAAAAAAAAUUAGAAAUAUGCCGAAUGGUUCAGUUUAAGCUUGUCUAUGAAUUUUUAUGCUCUAUGAGUUACAAAUCCACUGCCGUCCUAAACAAGUAUGACUGCAUGAUGACAAAUAUGGUAGCAUGAUGACUGCAUGCUUUAAGUUUGUUUAUUUAUCUUCUCUUUUUCACAGUAAAUUAUUGUAGCAUGAAAAGCUUCAUUAUUUGGCAUUGUUGUUUGCAGUCGGGUCCAUUUUUUGGUAAAAUUAAUAUUAGAAUAUAUAUUUUCAUACACAUGUAAACAAAUAUACUUAUGUGACAUUUGAUUUUCUUGAUUGCUUUACUGGCUUCAACGAAUAUGUUCGUAUACACAAUAGAUGAGUACUUCGGCGGUUGAAGUUAGUGGUGAAAAGGUGAAAGCAAUGUGGGAUAAGAGAUUGAUAGAAAUAUUUUUUGAUAUUUGUAUUAAAGAGAUAUUGAAAGGCAAUAGGCUUGGUACUCAUUUUACAAAAGAUGGAUGGUUGAAAAUAAUGACCAGCUUUGAGAAAGAAACGAGAAAGGGUUUUUCACAAAGACAACUUAAAAAUAGGUGGGAUGCCCUAAAAAAGAAUGGAAAGCUUGGAAGAAACUUAAAGGCGAAGAUACUGGUCUAGGGUGGGAUCCUAUAAAAAGAAUUGUUGAUGCAUCGGAUGAUGAGUGGGAGAGUAGGCUACAGGUACAUUAAUAAUUCUGAAUAUUUUUAUUUUUUCUUAUUUAUGAGGUUAUUGAUAAUUACUGUUAUUAAACUAUCAUUUUAUAUGUAGGUUGUGCCUGAAGCUCAAAAAUUUCGAACUUCGGGCAUUGAUCCCGAAUUUGAAGGGAAGUUAGAUCAAAUGUUCAUGGGGAUAGUUGCAACAAGAGAUAAAGCAUGGGCACCUUCUUCUGGUACACUCCGGAGUGAUUUUUUUGAGGAUGUUACCGACUAAAUACCUGAAGAGAAUGAAGAAGAGAAUAUGAGAAAUGAUGUUCACAUUUUAAAUGAUGUUCACAUUUCAAAUGAUGUUCACAUUUCUAAUGAUGUUCAAAUUGAUGGGAACGGUCAAAAAAGAAAAAACCCUGAGAUAUCAAGUUCACAUUUGAAAACUGGAAGAAAGAAAUCCUCAAAGCAAAUUGGAGGGGCUGCAAGAUUGUCUAGUCAAAUAGAAAAAUUAUGCAAUGCAGCUGACGAUAUGAGUCAAGCCACAUCUAGUUUGACUCCUGUUAUGGAUCCAUAUGGUAUUCCGCAAGCAAUCAAAGUGCUUGACAGCAUGUCGGAAGAAGUUCCAGAAGCUAGUCCGCUAUACUUUUUCGCACUUAAAUUAUUGCUUAAUAAGGACAAGCGAAUUAUGUUUUUAUCAAUUAAUCCCAAGAUUAGAGCUUUGUGGCUUAAGUCGGAAAUGGAGGAUAGUUGAACAUGUGCUUCUCUCUAGGGUUCAGAUAUAUCUAUUAUGUGACUAAACAACAAUGCUAAACUAGUUUUAUCAAUAGUUAUUUAUGUUUGGUUUUUGGAUAUUGAAUUUAUGUUCUAUUUAUUUAUGUGUAAUCUAGUUUUAUUAAUAGUUGUUUAUGUUUGGUCUUUGGAUAUUGAAUUUAUGUUCUACUUAUUUAUACUAAAUUAGUUUUAUCAAUAGUUGUUAAUAUGAUUUUGGGUAUAAAAUUUAUUCACAGGUGAUGAGUAUAGUUGAGAAUUACAGCGGUGAUGAAAAUGAUGAUGAAAGGGAAAAGAAAGAGAUUUUACAACGCAUGGAAUGUUUUAAUCGAUUAUUUGUUGCUGCAUCUUCUUCCAUGCAAUUAUAUUACGAGAAGUAUAUAUCCAGGCAACCAUGCAUGGAUUCAAAACAGUCAGGUGAGACAUGGAUCCGAGAGAUCCUCGACGGUCAUGAAUCACGUUGUAUGAUUAAUUUUAGGAUGUCUAAAAUGGUAUUCACAAGUUUGUUGAGAGUUUUGGAGACAAGAUACAACUUGCAAACUUCAAGAAACAUAUCUUCUAGUGAAAUGCUGGGAAUUUUUUUAUACAUCUUGGGCACCGGCGCAAAAGUUUUCCAAUGUCGAGAAAGAUUUCAGAGGUCUGGAUCAACAAUAAGUCGACACUUUGCAACUGUACUUGAGAAAGUUUCAAGGAUGUCCACUGAUCUAAUUGCACCCGAAGAUCUUUUUUUUAGCUCAAUACCCGAACAAAUACGUAAUGAUUCUAGAUAUAUGCCGCAUUUUAAGGUUAAAAUUUAAUUUUAUAUUAUUAUAUUUUAAUAUUUUUGGUUGAUUAAAAAUAUGCACGAGGGUAAUAUGAUUAUUUGUUCAGGAUUGCAUUGGUGCAAUUGAUGGUACUCACAUUGCCGCUAUUCUUCCACCAAAUGAACAAAUUCCCUAUAUUGGAAGAAAAUGUAUCCCGACUCAAAAUGUUAUGGCAGUAUGUGAUUUUAAUAUGUGUUUCACCUUUGUCAUGGCUGGAUGGGAAGGAUCGGCACAUGACACUAGAAUAUUUCUUGAUGCAAUUCGAGAUCCGAAAUACAAAUUUCCGCACCCACCAAAUGGUUAGAUUUUUUUUAUAUGUGAUUUUUUAAAUAACAAAGUAUAAGUUCUUUAAUUCAUAAAUUUAAUAAAGUAAUAUGAUUAAUUGUUUGUUAUAUUAUGACUUGUAGGAAAAUAUUAUCUUGUUGAUUCUGGAUAUCCUCAAAUGAAAGGUUAUCUUGGACCAUAUAGAGGUCAGCGAUAUCAUUUACCUGACUUUCGUAGAGGUAGACCAGUAUCUGGUAAAGAAGAGAUAUUCAAUCAUUCACAUUCAUCAUUACGUAGCGUGAUUGAACGAACUUUUGGUGUUUUGAAAAAAAAUGGGUCAUUUUAAGGGAUAUGCCAAGUUAUAGUUUUAAGAAGCAAACGAUGAUCGUUGUUGCUACAAUGACAAUACACAAUUUUAUCCGAAAACAUGUCGGUCGAAAUGAUGCAGAUUUUAUGGAAUACGAAGACUGGGCAUAUGAGAAUAUUAUUGAUUCAGAAAAUGCGCAUGGUUGAGAAAGUGAUGAUGACGACGACGAUGACGAUGACGAUGAUGGUGAUGAUGACGGUGAAUCAAACAAUUUAAGUGGUUUUGAAAUGGAAUUAACAAGAGAUGCUAUAGCUUCUAGUUUAAUGAAUUCACUUUAAAUUGUAAAUGCUAUUGUAAAAUUUUUAGUAUUUAUAUUUGAUAUAUAAAUAUUAUCCCUUUUUAAAACUUUAAUCCAAAUAUAUGUAAUAUUUUAAUUCGUUAGGUUUAUGUUUUCUAUGUUAUGUUAGUAUAUAUAUGAGUUAUAUAUUCAAAUACAUUUUAAAAUAAAAUAAUAAAAUAUGUUAAAAGCAUUAAUUAAAAAUAAAAAAUAAUUUUUAUAAUAAUAUAAUCAUGUCAAUAUCUAAUUACAAAUAUUUAAUUUUUAUAUUUAAAUAUUUAAAUAUUUAAAUAUAGUUUAUAUAUUCUAAUUAAAUUUUAUAAAUAAUUAAUAUUAAUUACUUAGAAAUUUUUAAAAUUAAUAUUAUAUAUUAAAAUAUUAACAAUAAGUUAUAAUAAAUUAUUUUUUUUAUAUUUUUGCUAAAAUAUCAUAAUAUUAACUAAUUUGAACAUUAUUUAAAUACAUAUUUGUUACUUUAUAAUCUCAUGUCUAAAAUGAACAUUUUAUUCUUCAAAAGCACUUUUUGACAGCAAUGCCAAACACUCAAAUUUCUCAAAAGCACUUCUCAAAAGCACUUCUCAAAAGCAAUAAAGAACUGGCCCUAAGUCAACAUGUGUAAGCCACCAUUCCUUUGAGAAUAAAAAUAGUGACAGUCUAGGGCUCGACCCUCCAGAGUUAGCAUCACUGUAUGAACUUUGCUUGUCUUAGGAGUUCCUUUAGCCUUGAAGAAUUGCUCCAGCUUAGGCCACCAUCCUCUAAAAUCAUUACCAUUGAACUUUGGACACUCGAGCCUACUAGGUCUGUCAGAUCCAUCAACCAAAGGCGAGUAAUUCUGCAGGUGGAAAUUGCCUAUGUCAAUAGGUGGAGCAACACUUACCCCAGCAGUAACUUGACUAGCAUUUGGCACAACAAAAUCUUUAGGAGAAAAACCAGGUGGUGCUCCCCCCAUAACGCUCUUUCCCUUGCCAAUGACUCCAGUAGUGGGUGGUCUAAAAUAUUGGCCAAGAAAGGUUUGAAGGUCCCCUCUAAACUUGUCCUUGAACUCUUGGAAUUUAGUGUCCAUCUUAUUGUCCAGUCGAACCAAUUCCUCUUGAAUCUUGGAAAUUUCUUACUGCAUUCCACUGAUCUCUUUUUGUAAGAUAGUAGAAACACCAUCUCCAGCCAUAGUAGGGAUUGAAGUGAGCUCUGAUACUUUUGAUACACUAUAAAAUCUGAGUUAGAACAAUAAGGAAAACAGAAGAAAAAAAAAAGGAGAAAGGGAGAGAAGUUUUGUACAACUUUUUUGUGUAUGUAUUUUGAUAACCACCUUUCCUUACGGCUAGAGUUUAAAAGAAAGAGAAAGUAGACGUGGCAAAGUUAGUUACAAUCGCCAGCUAGUCCGUUGAUGCUGUCACCAUUUCACUAAAGACAUUACCCCUUAAUUCUAACGCACUGUUUCAUCCCAUACAUCAUAUUUUCCUGAUUUAAAUUCUACCCAUAACAUUAAGGAAAACAAAAGAAAAAAAAAGGAGAAAGGGAGAGAAGUUUUCUGCAACUUUUUUGUGUAUGUAUUUUGAUAACCACCUUUCCUUACAGCUAGAGUUUAAAAGAAAGAGAAAGUAGACGUGGCAAAGUUAGUUACAAUCGCCAGCUAGUCCGUUGAUGCUGUCACCAUUUCACUAAAGACAUUACCCCUUAAUUCUAACGCACCGUUUCAUCCCAUACAUCAUAUUUUCCCGAUUUAAAUUCUACUCAUAACAUUUACUUUAGGCAAUGUAUACAGCGAAGUGUCCACCCACAUCAUAAGCUUCAAAAUCUAACAUUAAAAUCUGUUCAAAUCUAUUGUUGGUUUUCAAGGGACCUUUUUCUAUUAUUAUACUGGGAUGAAGAAUAUAUUUUUUCACGCAUUAUACUCUUGAGCAUUUGAAAAUCAUUAACCAGGAACUUGUUUCGAUCAUUCCAAUCCAGCUUCCUAUGGGUUUAUGAUGAUUGCGCGUUCGAUGUUUGGGUUUUUUUUUUCAGUAGUUUAGGGUUAUUGGAUUUGAAUUGGGUGGGUAAAACGAAAAUUGAUCUUGGGGAAGUUUUAUUUUAUUUGUUAUUUAAGUUUUUAUUUGAAGGAAAGUAAAGAUUAAAAAUUAAAUUAUACGGACCAAUAAGAAUUCGACACUUGAAUUAUUAUUAAUAUUUUUUUCUUUUAAAAAAAAUAAAUUAUUUUAAUUUUUUGAAUCAAAUUAAUUUACUUAAUAUCGAAAUCCCACAGUUUCUUUACCUAAAUUUCUUUACUUUGUUUAGAAGAUGAUUACGAAAUGCUGAGCUGUCUCAGGAAUCCAGAACUUUUGCUUACGCCACUCCACUCGUUUCUUUUAGCAAUCCAACGGCCACCUAUCAGAAAAUCAUCACUUCGCGUAAGCAGAGGCAAACCUUUUUCUCUAGCUGCACGUUAUCGCUUUGAGUUUAAAGGAGUGCCCUAAGCAAUUUCAAUAAAAACCCAAGUGACAUAGACAGUGAGAAAGUUUGAACUUGAGAAUAAUUGACUAAAAUUCUAUAAACAAAACAGUCGAAUAGUAACAAGUUAUAUAUUUAUAUUUUUAAAGCUUAAAUUCUACAAAUGAAAAUUAAAAAUUAAAAUCUAGUUAAUGCCACUAAAUUAGUAGUAAAUUUAUGUUAUAGUUAUUUAAUUUUAAAAUAUUAAAAAAUAGUUAUAAAAUUAUUCAAAAGUUUUCAUAUAAGUAAUUGAACUACUCAAAAUAUUUUAUUUAAAUUAUUAGACUUUUAUGUUUUCAUUUUCAAAAAAAAAAAAGAAUUUAACUAGCAAGUUUCAAGUGAUGAUCGAUAUAAAAGAUCAAUACCCAUCGAUGAAUAGAAAACAUACUUUAGAUCUAAAUUGGUCUGAUGCUUAGUAUCAAAGAGUGGAAAAAAUAUAUUUAUAUUUUGACUCAUAGAUUCAUGACAUUUAAAACUCUUUUAUGAAAAACAAUUGAACCGUAGAAAAAAAAGGGAAAUAAAAUUUUUCGAUUAGUAUAAGCGAUGUGAAUAAAAAAAUCAUACAAUAAUAACUUUAACAGUCCAGUUACUUAAGUCAAAAUUUUCGAAUAGUUUAAUUAUUAUUUUGUAACUUGUUUAAAGUUAAGUAAUCGAAAUAAAAAUUUAUGGAGUUUAGUAAAAAAAUAAUAUUAAAAAAAUAUUACUUUCCGUUUAGGUGUUAGACCUAACUAGAUUUCAAAAUUAAUCAAAAAGAAAAAGGGAAAGAGGAAGAAAGAGAAAGGAGAAGAAAUAAAAUUCCCAACACCCAAAGUCCAAAUAUAAUAAAUCUAUACCAAACCAUAUUCAGCACUAUAUAAUCUAUAAUUCCAAGCUAAAACUUGUGUCCCAUCUAUCCUUUUUUUUUCUUGGUAUUUUCUAGAGGCUUUGCAAGUUUGCAAAAAAAAAAUGAGUGACCCCAAAUAUGCUUAUCCCUACCCUGCUCAAGGUACUCUUUUCUUUGUUUUUUAUGUAAAUUUCCCCUUAUAAAGCCUCUGCAAGUUACUUAAGUUCUCAGUUUUUACAUUACUGGCCAUUGUUUUUAUUUUUUCUCAAGAACUUCCUUUGUUUAUGGCGAUGGGGUUUUAUUUUUAGGGUGAUUUGUGUUUUUUCUUGGCCGAUUUUCCCUUUGGAUUAAAGGAAAUAUUAAGGGUAGAUUUUGGUGUAAUUUUGUAUUAUAAAUUUUUUUGGUUAGCAGGUUAUUAUCAAGGUCCCCCAGUGAUGGCACCACCGCAAUAUGCAGCUCCACCACCUAGGAGAGAACCCGGUUUCCUUGAGGGCUGGUUGGUGCAAUAUUUUUGAAUUAAUUUUAAUUUAUUCUUUUAAUGUGUAAAUUUAAUUAAUUUAUAUAUUUUAUUUUUUGGCAGUCUUGCAGCUUUAUGUUGCUGUUGUCUUAUUGAUGAAUGUUGCUGUGAUCCAUCCAUCAUCUUUAUCAGCUGAGAAUAAACAAAAAUAUUCUCUGUAAUCUCACUAUAUAUAUUGUGAUGCUAGGUUUAAAUUCUUAGGAGGAUUAAUCUUUUUAACACUAAUAAAAUUAUAAUUUAUAGAUAGUGAUGAUGGGUGUGUUUGUGUUUUGUGGUUUGAAGAACUUGUUGCUUUAAGUUUCUGUUUUUCUUCUUCAUCUUUGUAAUUUUCUUAAGCAAUGGAAGAAAAUAAUCAGCGAAUUUCCAGUAAUUAUUUUAUUUUUCUCUUUUCAAUUAAUUAAUUAUGUGGCUAAUGAAAAGGACAUUGGUGGUUCAGAUUCAUUUGAGCUGUAAACCAAUUCAUAAAUUGUGCAGUUACCUAUUUGGUCCUAAAGUGAUUUAAAUGUCAAUAAAAAUAAAUGAUUGAAUCAAAUCACUUUGAACUUUAAAUGAGUGUAAAAGGUUGGACUUUGGGAAUUAAUAAAGGUUAAAAAGCGGGAUGGAUUCGGAUGAUUUCGGGUUUUUUAUAAGACGAAAUUGAGUUAAGAAUGUGUUGUCCCAAGAGGUUGUUCAAUCGUGGCCAAUCGUCAUGCAUGCGCUAAACCGGUUGUAAUGAGGCGUAAGCCACUUAAAAAUGAAAAAGGGGGGGGGGGUAUUCGAUUCCGAUAAUGGCAAUAUAUUAUUUAGUCUUGUUGAUUAGUGAGAGGUAACAAGGGAAGAGGAUGAUGGUUUGAUAAAGAAGAGGGGAGUAUGAAGGUUGGAAGGAAAUUUUGGCCACAUGGAGAUAGUUUACAGGUUCAGUGCGGGAAGUAUUUGAGAAUAGAUUUACAUGAAUUAUUUGCAUGUCUUUUUUAUAGUGGGGACAAACUUAGCUACGUACCCUCAGUUUGUUGACAUGGAACUCUGAUUUGAUAUCCUUGUAAUGGUGGUGAUAUAACGUCCUAGGAUGAGACAUUUUAGGACGACUAACAAUCAAUUACUCUGAGUCUCCAUGUGGUGCUCAUAUUGCCUCAGCGAAGGUGCACCGUUCUAAAGUUCGCCAGGCUAUGGUUCGCAAACUAGCUUUAGGUUCGUGGUACCAUUGGUUCCAUUGGAAGACACAUGUCAAGUUCUUUAUGUUGUUCUGUGAGGUUCGCAAUGUUCGCUAGACAAGGUGCAACAAUUUCCCCCCAGGCAAGUGAAGGUUAUAAAGUGACCUUCGUGAGCCUGGUGAAAAAGUCUCAGCAUGGGUGUUUAUGAUGGAAACGUCUUAAAGAUUAUGAUGAAGUGUUAUACAUUGUAUAGGGGUUCUCAUUCUAAGUUUGAAUAUAUAUAUAUUUUAAAUUUGUAGUUUAAAUUUUAAAAAAUUGAAAAAUUUAAACUAUUUAAAUUUAUAGUGGGAUAAAUGAUUGUUAUUUGUUUGUUCAUUUGAGUUGAAUGAUGAAUUUGGCAAAAUGUGCUAUGUGUAACGAUGUGUUGAUUGAAUUUCCAAUGAAAUCGUCAUCAUCUUUAAUAUUUAGAUACACAUGCUGUGUGUUAAUUGGAGGGACCUUUCUUGUGCACAUGUGAUGGUGCAUGCAUGUGCACGUGAUAACUUACCUAAGAAGUUUCAUAGUAAUCAAAGGGUUUCAUCUUAUUUAUAAAUAUGGAUAAAUUUUUAAGCCUCAUUACCAUUUGCUUUCUAUGUUUUUAAAUUUCUACAAUUCCUCUUUCUUCUGUGUUCUUGGUGCAAUUUAGUUUGAUAGGUUCUAAUCACUUCAAUUUCUUUAUAUUACUUUUUCAUUUUCCUUUUUAUUGUUAGCAAAACAUGGUUCCGAGAUUGCUUAGUGUUCCUGCUGAAAGUAAGGAAUUUGAGUGUACAACGUUUGUAGAUGAGAUGUGAAAAUUGUUGGAGUGUAGGGUAAUUACGUGUUUUAGUAAUUUUAGAUACAAAUUUUACAUUUUGAAGGGGAAACAUCGAUUGAGUGAUAUGAAAAAUUGUAAGAGAGAAAAUCGUUGGUUUCUUUUGCCCUUAUACGUUUUUGAAGUAGGGUUUCAUAUGUCUCUGUAUCUUUUCUUUGUAGAAUUGUUGAAUUCAUACGAGGUGACUCUUGGGCAAUUAAUGGGUUCCUUGUGGUGGAUUUUAAUGGGUAUUUAUUACAUUACCAGCUACAUGGAGAAUAAACUUCUGUAAAUCUAUUCAGAAGAAUAUACAUUGUAACCCCUGCUAGUGAAAGCAAUAAAAAAGGGUUUGUAAUGUUUGCCACUCUAAGGGGAGGGAAAGUUGUUGUAGAUAACACCACCAACAACUUGCAUUUGGCGAGGGAUAUAUAUAUUGAAAUUAAGUGAACUUAUGGGGAAUUCCCUUUUCUUUUGGCCUGGGUUAAACCUUCCACUGAAAAAAGCAAUUGAGAUCCUUGUUCGUUAAUGUUAGAGUAUGCCCAAAGACCAAUCAUAAGAUGAUUGUAAUCACAUACUCGUUUUUACCUUAUUUUUAAUGCAAGGCAUUGCCAUUGUUAUUUCAGUUUCUUUUCUGUGUGUAUAAAUAAACUAGUUAAUAAUAAAGUAUCAUAUUCUAAAAAGGUCAUUCGUCGAGUUUUAUUAUGGGCUUGGACAAUGAUAAUGCAUUGAGACUAAUGUAUAGUUGAUUGAUGACAAAGUGUUGUCAUUGACAUAGGGACGUCAAACUCAAUACAUGUGUAUGUGUUAGAGAAAAACAUACUAGACUAACCUGCCAUGAGUAUGUUUCUUGGAUUAUUAUGUAAUAGCCACAAAUAUUACUCAUAGUGAUAACUAUGUAUAUGACCCUCAGACUUGAGAUCAUCAUUGUCUCAACAUCGUGAGUCGUAUAUGUUGAUACAAUCAAACAUAUACCUUAACAAGUUGUACUAUAAAACUGAUCUUGGAUAUACCACAAUCCAUUUAGUGGGAUAUGGUUGAUCAAGACAUGAUUUAUCCCUCUUACAUAAUGGGAUCAAUAUUUUAGGUCUCUUGAUGGAUUAUGUAGAAGCCGAUAUGUUAUUGUUGCGACUUGGAAUCGCCAUCUCCGAAAGGGAUCCUAUCAACAACGUCAUUCAUUGCUUUUCAGUUUUUGAAAGGUAUAUUUUCAACCUUUGUUUCAACUUGAUUUGUUCCUCGUACAUGGAUCCUUGGUUGACGAUCGCCAGAAUAAUUUUUCCGCCGCGCCAUGGGGCGUAAUGAUGAUCCAACAGUUAAAUGCAGUAGAAGAGGCUCAAUUCAAAAGAUUGCAAAUAAGUCCGCCAAUUAGGUAUAAGCAAGUUCACAGCUUGAGGAACGUUUGGCGAUUCAGCUUAAUGGAGAAAAUUCAAAAUAGUUGAGAUGAUGUGGACUUCAAUACCCUCAGUGAAGCUCAACUUGAUGGAACAAAUCCAUGUAAUGAGGCUUGAACAUAUAUGGGUAUAACAAUGUAAUAGCAGAAACUCUUUUAGGAUUAUUUAAAGAACCCAAAAAUUGGUUAUUUGAGUAUGCCUUUUGUCAAUAGUGUAGAUGAGACUAUUGAAGCCAGAAAGGAGAAAGAAAAUGUGUAGCUACGAGGGUUCCAAGAGCUAUAAAAAGAAAGAAAACUGCGUAGGUGAUUGAAGUUUCACGAGCUAUUGAAACCAUUUAAGGAGUUAAAAUUGUUGAUGUUACUCAAGAACCAGCUGAGGGGAGUGAAGGACCUAAUUUGGAGGUUCGUAAAAAGAGAAUAAGAGAUCCAUAUUCAAAUUCUCUUCCUUUUGUUGGUGAAGGUCCCUCAAGCGAGAAUAUGAAAGAUACCAAGUCUCACACGGACUUUAAUACACAAUCUAGUAUUGGAGGUAUUACUUCAAACUUUCUAAUUUGUUGCAUUUGUUUUCGUAGGUUUUUUUUAUAUUCUAGGCAAGUGAACUAUUGUAACCAAGUGAAACAUUCUCAUUAAAGAUGAAUAGCCAUAGUAAGGUAUCUGGAGCUAAGAUUUAUCCCUUGAGUGUUUCAUUAGGUUGUGAGAUUUUUGAUGAAGUUCUUUGUGAAAGUUUUAAUUGGUUUUCUAGCAGUAGUUCCGGUGUGUGUAGCUUUUAUUACUUAUUUUUUUGCUAGAAUUUAGAGUACUAACUGUUUGCGAAGAACUUAUGUGGAGGAGAAAGUUUACUUGUGUCUUGAGAUAAUUCGAUUGAUAUGCAAGUGUAUACAACCAUUGACAAGAAAUAAAGUGAUAAGUAAAGAGUAUCAUCUCUAUAGGGAUUGUAUAAGAAAAUUUUAUGAAAUAAGACUUAGCAAAUUGGUAUUAAAAAUAAUUAAGGGUCAAUUAGACAAACUACUCUGUUUAACUAAAAAUCACCUAAGAAAAAUUAAAUGAAAGAAAAACACAGAUAAAAGCAACAAUUCACAAAAACAAACCUCAAUGACAUAAAUGUGCUAGAUUAAUUAUCUUAUUUAACUAUGAGUUAUUAAAACCUAGUAAUGACGUACAGAAAAAACCCAUGGCAACUCGACUGUUCAUUAACUCAUGAAAUCAUACUUAUUAAAUUAUUAAAUUUUUAUAACACAAGUUUAUGUUAAAUCAACUUGGUAAUUUUCAUAAGCGAUUAUUCAUAUUAAGUGAGGUAACGAAAUAUUUCUAUGCUGAAAUAGUUUAAUCACAUUAAUUCUAGGGUUAUGAAAGGUAAUAAGUUUUUUCAAUAUUAUUACUAAUUUAACCUAUUUUAUCAUAAAUAAGAUCAAACAUGCAUAAAUUAGAUAGUGUGCCAAUUAAUUUCAAUCUAGGUCUGAUUAAAUUAUUAAUUCAGUUGCACCCACACAUUCAUAAUACAUAUAUAACAUGUCAUGAUUUUAUCUGACUGAGUGAACAGCCAAGACACAUAACAUCAUUAACAACAUUUUAAUAAAUCUAAGCUAAAAAACAUAAUCAAUGUAACAAUAAUAAAUUUAAGUCGUUAUGAUUAAGCUGAAAAAAAAUAUUUGACAAACAUGUUCAUCAAUGAAAAACAAAGUAAAAGUAAAAAUAGGAAGAACAAGAAGACAAAUCCAAUGUUUUUUUGCUCAUGCUCCCUUAUUUCUUUUUGCUUUGCUCGUAUUGCACAAAUCUCCUUAGGAAUGUCAAAAAUUUUCUUCCCAACACGCAUUGGAAUUUCUUCUCUCAACUUUCUACGUUAUUUUCUCAAAUGGGGAGUAGAAGAAUGAAAGAGAGGAAAAUAGAUGAUGAGUGAGUGAGUGAUGAGUUGAGUGAUCAGAUAGGGCCUAUUUAUACAUGAAGGGAGUGGCUAUUUUUAGCAAAUUGAAGCCUUGAAAGUAUCUCCCCCAUGGCCGAACCUUGCUUUAAGGGAAUGAAGUUAAUGGCUUUGCUAAAUUUAGCUUGGUAAAUGAGAGAAGAAGCUUUAAAAGGGGAAUGGGUUUGAAUAAAAAUAUGAGGUAGUUUUUUGGUUGUUUUCUAAAUACUUUAAUCAGCCUUGGAUGGUUGAUUUGGGCUCGUUGAUGGACAAUUUGGCCUCUCUCCCUUAAUAGGAAAUUCGAGCUCUUUUCUCCGUAGCAGACUGUCUAAUUUUUCUCCCCAAAUUCUGAGUUGGGUUAAGCAUGUCCAUUAAUCCCUUAAUUGGGGCUUCAAAACCUAAUUAUUAAUCAUCCCUCCUUUGCAUGGCUUGUGCUAUAGGGAUGCUACAAUAUUUGAGUUUCAAAACACCACCUUUAAGACCGUCCUUUCUUCAAAUGCACUAAAUUGCUCCGAAUUGGAAAAAAUAUGUAAUUUUAGCAUAUAAAUAAUUAAAAUUAGAGAUUUAGAUUUAAUUUUUUCCAAAUUAGAUAUUAUGUAAUAAAAUUACAAAAAUAUGAUAAAAAACACUUGAAAAUUUACAUGAAUUAUUAGUUUGAAAAGGCUUUAAAAGUCUAUAUCUUUUGGAGUUAUAAACAUGCAAGAGAUAAUAAGGGUAUUUCUAUUAACCUUGAGGUUCUUGCUACUCUCAACAUGUCCACUGCACUUGCCUCAACAUUUCCUAUAACUCAAACGUUCGCUUCUUUAAUUGCCUCAACAAGUUGUACUUAAAUUGCUUCUGCCUCGAUUGUCUUUAGUUCACCAAUUUUAGCCACUUCAGACUCAAACAUUAAGGAAUUAGUUAAUAAAAUUCUAAGUUCUGUAAAGAGUGAACUCAUAAAUCAUAGGCCUCCUAUUCCUCCCAAGGAUCAACAACAAAAGAAAAAGCAGAAAACUGUUACUCUAGGAGUUCAACCACACAAAAUCAAUCCCCUUUCACCGCCUCUUCAAGUAACUCUAGCGAAAUCACUCAUAUUAUUCAUUCUCUUCCAUUGAGUUUAUGUAACGAGUCUGCUCCUUUAACUGGCUUAUCUUCAAGUUCGCAGAGCUUAUUUAGUGGCUUUGUUUCCUUAAAUAUAUCCGGUAAUAAGUCUAUUAUUAUGCAUUAUUUUCUUGAUUAGUAUACCCACUAUUUUAUUUAAAACUAACAACUUAAUUUGAUUCUCUUUUAGUAGGUUCUUUCCCUAGUAUAUCCACCAUAAUACACAACUUCAAGCUCAUCUGCAUCAUCAGUUGCUCUUUAUUCAACUUUUUUAACUUUAUCAAUUCCUCAUUCUAUUGGUGUUUCAAUAACUUGAAUAAACUCUCUUUCUGUUGGCGUUCUUUCUACAUCUAGAGGACCUUCUCAAAGUUCUCCAGCCAUGAGCAGUACUUCCUCUGGAAUUUAACCUGGUGGGAUAAUGGAGAGUCUUAUAAGCCCUUAUUCCUGCUAUUUUCUUUAGCGAGGAUUUGAAGGAUCAUGCAUCUUCUUUCAUCCUAACAAAGCAACCGAAAAAAUGUUGGGAUGGUUUCUUUCAAAAUAGAUUGAGGGCCCACCUGUAAUGUACCCUAUGGAUUUAUGGAAGAAAAUUGACAUUCAAGAGUAUGAGAAGAAUUUUGCGCACCAACAUAUGAGUAAAUCUUUAAAGCAAAAAGAAGUUCAACUGUAAAACUUAAAUACUAAGAAUGAGGUUUAAAAAGAAAUUAGUUUAUGAAGUCACCUCAAGGUAAGCCAUUUUAAAAGAAAAAAAUUAAACCUUUUGAAGAAUUAAAUAUGAAAUUGAAGGAAGAAGCUACGAAGCUGACAGGAGAAAAUGAGGGCUUUCAAGAAGGAGAAAGUUGAAUUUGAAGCUCGCAUGAAAGAGAUGACUUUGAAGUGUGUGAAUGAAAUUGCUUCUUUGAAGAGAUCUCACAACGGCGAAGCUGCUCAACUUAGGGAUGAAUAUAAAGCGAAUAUGAAUGUCAUGAAAGAAGAUAUAAAGAAAAGUUUGAAGAAAAAAGAUGUUGAAUCGAAUCUCUUCAAACUGCCAUUAAAGCUCUCAAAAAGGAGAAAGAUAUUGAAGUCACUUUAGGUAAGGCAAAGAAAAACAAAGUCAUCGAGGAAGCCAUAACUACUGCAAAAGCUAAAGUUAAAAGCACAUUCAAAUGGGCUCAGCAUGGUGCUACACUUGGCAUUCAAGUGGCUCAUGACCCACUCAAUGUUUCCAAUGUUCUAUUGGGUAAAUUUUGCGAUACUAUAAUGAACUUUGAUAUACUCAAUCCUGUUGGUCUUUAAUGGGAAGCUUUUAGAAAGGAUUAAGAGCUGUUGUAUUGUUUCCUCCUGGUACUCAUGCUAACUCAACCCUUGGAGAGGAAGAAAUAGAUGGUGGAGGUGGAGAGGAUUAAGAGCUCUUUGAUUUAUUUUGUAAUUAAAAUGAUUUUCUUCAAUCGAUCUAUUCAUUUGCUUUCUUAAUGUAAAUUUACUUUUAGCUUGACUUCUUAAAGAUAACUCAUUUCUUUAAAGUGAAUUUAGAUAACACUUAUUUAAAGUGGCUUUACCUCUUUAAGGUAAUUCGUUUCUUUAAAGCGGACCUAGAUAGCACACUUCUUUAAAGCGACUUUACCUUUGUAAGGUAACACACUUAUUUAAACAUGCUUCUUUAAAGCGAACUUAGAUAACACACUUUUUAAAAGUGGUUUUACCUCUUUAAGGUAACACGCUUAUUUUAAAACGAACUUAGAUAGCCCACUUCUUUAAAGUGGCUUUACCUUUUAAGGUAAUACGCCAUUUGAUGAAAUCUUAGUUUGGCGAGCUCUAAGGUUUGGCGGACUCUUUUGUUAAGUAUUUGCCCAACCCAGAUAGUUUGGGCGAACUCAUUAAAUUCGCAAUUGUUUAGUUUUGUUUAUUAUUUUUGUAUGGUGAUUUAGGACCAGUUCUUCAUUGUUUAAAAAAAGCACUUCUGAUUCCAAAAGCACUUUUAAAAAAAACUGUGAAGAGCAAGCUGCUUUUGGCUAAAAUUUUUAGCUUUUCAGAAGUGCUUUUCACAAGCACUUAUGAAAAGGAGAAGCUAAAAAUUUUAGCUUUUCCUCUCCCAAAAGCACUUUUGGUACUUAAUUACUUUUUCACCCCUCCAAUAACAUAGUAUUUUCCUUUUUUUUUCUUGGUGCUUAAUUACAAAUGUGUUAAAAUCAUUAAUUAAAAAUAAAUUUUUUUUUAAAAAAUAAUAAUUACAAAUAUUUAAUGGUUAUAUUUAAAUAUUUAAAAUAUAGCUUAUAUAUUAUAAUUAAAUUUUAUAAAUAAUUAAUAUUUAUUGCUUAAAAAUAUUUAAAAUUUAUAUUUCAUAUAUUAAAAUAUUAACAACAAGUUAUAAUAAUUUUUUUUAUAUUCUUACUAAAAUAUAAUAAUAUUAACUAAUUUAAAUAUUAUUUAAAUGCAUAUUUGUUACUUGAUAAAAACAUGUCUAAAAUAGACAUUUUAUUUCUUAAAAGCACUUUUUGACAGCAAUGCUAAACAUUCAAAUUUUAAACCAAACUUUUCAAAAGCACUUCUCAAAAGCACUUUUCCACAACACUUUUCAAAAGCACUUUUUCAAAAGCAAUGAAGAACUGGCUCUUAGUCAGUCAAGUUGAAGUCUAGUUAGAAUAGAACUAGACUAUUGUAUAUGAUAAGACCUAAAUUUUGUUAAGUGCACUCAAUCACGUGAAUUAAGAGAGUUAGUGGAAUUAUAUGAUUUUUCCACUAAUUCUUGUCUCUCUGCUUAAGUAUACAAGGAUAGCGCUUGUCUUUCUGAACACCUUUUAUGUCUUAUUCUUGAUUUUCUUCUGAAAGUCUCUAAAAAGCUUAAGUUUAGAGAACUUCUUCAAAGUGAAGGUUUGCAGUAUCUAGUCAACAUAUACGUUAGUACCAGCUCACUGAUAAUUUUCGAUGAACCCUUAGGUUAUCAUUGAAGUCAUUUAUGAGUUUUUCGUACUGCAUGCUUAGACGCUAGAAUGGUGUGUGAGGAAUGAAACUUCUUGAUUCUGGAUUAAGUGUUGUUGAUUCUUGCAUGCAUGUUCAAAUUUGAUAGAUUGAUGAUAUGAUAUGCAUAAAUAUAUUUAUUUUAGCUCAAUAAGCUAACGAGGGUCCAAGUGAUAAAGGCAAAGGACCUGCUUUUUAGAUUGUGCUAGAAUUUUUGGUGAGUUCCUUCUUACUUCCAUGUAUUGUAAAUUUCUUGUUUAAAUAAUUCAUGUAAGGUAAUUAAUCCUCAUCUGUACUGGAUGAAAUGAGUAUAUGUGGAUAAUGGAUAUCCAAAGUCAUCAGUCUGAGUUCAGUCAGUUUGUGAUAUAAAAUAAGUGUCGUUCUUCAUGCUUAAGCCAUUACCAUCUUCUUCUGAAAUGCAUGAUAUGAUCUGGUCUGUGGUGCUGGAGAAGAUGAGAUAUGUUUGUAUAGCCUCCGGUAGGACAGCUAUAUUGCAAACCGGAUUGGCAGGUAACGAUAAAACAUGCUAUUCUGAAUGAAAAUGAUAUAAGAUAUUAAGAAGGUGAAUGUAUGAAAAUGAGAAUUUAUAAUAUGCUUGUGAUUUUGAAUUCUUGAUACAUGGUUGGCAUGAAGAUGUGUUGUCUAAGUUAUGUUAAGUUAGUGAAUAGUAUACUCCCAUGUGUUAAGUAAGUUGGCGUACCCAGUCUGUUUAUUUUCGGUAUACGCCAUUAGGCGUACUAUGUUCAUUGUGUGUAAGUGUCUCUGAAAGGUUCGGUUGUAUUGUAAGUAAUGUUAUGUAUGAUUUCUUUUUGGAACUCACUAAGCUCAUAUGAACUUACUCUGUUACUUUUUCCUUCUUAAGCUUGCUGACUGAAGGAAGACUUUGUUAGAAGGACUACGCCAUAGUGCUGCUGCUAUUGUGAGCUGACUGUUUUGUUCUAUAUCAUGCAUGACUUUUGGGGGUGGCAUAUAAAUGUAUUUUGGAAAUGAACUGUAUAAAUAACUUAUAUUUUGAAAAAAAUAUGUUUUUACAAGAUUUCUAUUAAGUAUCAAUGUCUGGUUGUGAAUUAUUGCAUUUUGUUUAAUGAACUAUUAUAUUUGAACUUAUACGCCAAAUGGCUUGAACGCUAUUUCAAAUUGUUAAUGAUUUCAUUUAAACUUCAGUAAAACCACAACUAUCAUAUGUUUAUAUGUAUAACUUUGUAAUAAUUUUAUAAAGUUUCUGCCAAAUUGUUUUGCUAUAAGUUAGUCCGAUUUGAGUAGUGACACAUCAAGCUCGUAUCUUAUCAUAUGCUCGGGUUUGGCAUGUUUUAGGGGCUCAUUUUUAUACUUCAUCAUUAACCCAGAGGAUUUCAUUUUUUGAAAAUCAUGUAAAUGUUUUUCUAACUUCUCUACUUUUUGUUCCAAAGUAUUUUGACUAGCACAAUUACAACUAUCAUCAUAAUCCUCAUCAUUAUCUUUAUCAUCCAUAUCAACAUCUUUAUGUAACAACUCGAAAGUCAGUGGAGUCAGAAACGAUGAUUUCGAAAUGUUGUUUUCUAAUGAUAGAAUUUAUGGAUAUUAUUUAUUAAUAUUUAUGAGGGUAUUACAGUAUUAUAUUGUUGUUUGGUCUAAUAAUUUUAAUUCUUUGGAAAGUUAGACAAUGUACAAGUGUAUCGGUUCUAAAGUCAGUGAUUUUGGAAAUUGAGGUAUCGGGAUCUUGUUUCUGUAAACUGGACUCGUAAAUAUUUUUAUUAAAUAUUUACAUAAAAAUAUUUACGGAGUUAUAUUAGAGGCGAAUUAAAUUUUGGAUAAGUAAAUUGCAUGAAUUAGGAACUAUUAUGAUACAGGGACUAAAUCACGUAAAUGUGAAAAGUUGAAUUAUAAGUUUAAAUAAAUAAAAGGGACUAAAGUAGUAAUUAAACCACUAAUUAAAUGAUGUUGGAUGGUUGUGGGGCAGUUGAUGAUGACAGUGUUAUAAUAUUAAUUAAAUUAAACAAUAAAACUUAUGUUAUAAUAAUAAAUAAAAUGAAAACAAAUGAAAAGAAUAUUAAGGAAAGUGGAAUGAAAGAGAAUUUUCAAUUCUCUUUUGCAUGCAUUCGGAACAUAAAGAGAAGAAAGAAAGAGUUGAAAGACAUUAGGGGUUUCAAGCAUUUCAAUUUCAAAUUGGUUAGUUUAAUUUAAUCCUUUCCUUAUAAUUUUUACGUUUUUAGAAUCUCGGUAUUUAGGGGUAGCUGACCCAUGUUGAAAUUUUUAAUAUUGUUCAAGAUUGAUAAUGUUACCAUUGUUGAUUAGUUGGAGUUUUAUGGAUUAAAUUGAUAGAUUUUUAAGUUAGAAGUGGAAAAGAACUAAAUUAUGGAAUUAAUUGUUGAUUUUGAGCAAUAUGGACUAAAUUGUGAAAAAAAUUGAAAUUUAGGGGUAGAAAUAAGAAUUAGGGAAUUAAAUUCAGCUUAGAGUGAAUUUGAUAUUAAAAUUUAGGGUUAAAUGUAGAAGUUAAGUUAGUCCCGACUUUAGGGACUAAAUUGAAUAAAGUGUAAAAGUUAUAUAAAUUAGCAAUUAAAUGUGAAAUUGUUUGUAUAUAAAUGAUAUGCAUGGUUUAUUUAUUUCUGUAGCUAAUGUCGACUCAAAUUCCUCGAAAAAAAAAGGGAAAAUGCAGGGUCGUCGAUGAAAAGCUCAGAGAUUACGAUUUGUAUUUCUAUAACCUAGAUCUUUUCAAUUGUUACAUUCACAAACUGCGUUGCAUGAUAAUGACAUAUGGUAAGGUGGAAAUGUUAGAACGAGCUGAAUUGAACUGAUUCGAAUUACUUAUUGACAUAAGGACUAAAUUGAAUAGAUUUGAAAAAUAUGAUAUGAUAUUAUAAUUGUGUAAUUGAGUUCAAUUAGUGAUGAAUUAUUCUGUUACAUAUGUGAUUUAAUGAUUGAUUGAUGAAAUUAUAUUGUAGAACUGAGAACUUGAGUAUAAUGAAAUUGAAAUAAGGGUUGAUAAUGGAUAUUAGUUUAUAAGCUCAGUUUAAGAUAUGUAAAUAGAUUGAAUAAUUAGAUGAUGUAAUAGGACUUGUAGUUUGACAUAUUAAAAUGCAUUAUAACCUUUAUAAUAUGUUUUAUUGUUCGAUUAUAGAAAUACCACUGAGUUUUUACUUAGCGUGCGGUUUUGUUUUCCGUGCGCAGGUUAGGUACUUUUCAAUUUGCCUCAGAUUCAACAUCCAACAAUGCAUCCCAGACUCAAGUGUGGUGAUGAUCUAUUUUGUAAUGGCAUGUACCUAGAAGGUCCUUUUUUGACGUUGUUUAUAAUGUGUUGAUAUUUUGGUUUUCUAGCUCGAUAAUGGUCAUUUAUAUAUAUAUGAUUCUGGUUGAAGCUAUAUUUGAUAUGUUAGCUUAGCUUAAGGUUUUGGUAUGUGUUUGUAGCUUAAAGCUUGAUAUCCUUAGUAGCUAGAUGUUAGUUCAAUAUUGGCAAAUUUGGUAUGAAUGAAAGCCUUGAAUGGUUGAUGUGUUGUUGAUAUGUUGGAAGAUAUAAAAUGUGGUACCAAUGAGGGUACAUUGGUUAGACACUUAGGAUGAUUAUUUUGACUUGUUUUGAGCAUAUUUAAUUGAGUUUUGAAUAGGUUAAAUGACAGGUGAAUUGGUUGCUUAGUGUCCAAGUAAACACAAUUUGAUAAACUUGAGUUUUAAGGUACAUUUAAGGACACAUGGCUGUAAGUCACACAUGGGCAACACACAUGAGCGUGUGCCCUGAACGUGUAGAAUAACAACAUAAGUGUAGUUUCCACACGGCCUGCAACAUGGUUGUGUGAUCCAAGUUAGUGAGUUACAUGGGCAGAGAAACAGGUUGGGACACGGCCGUUUGUCCUAAAUUUGAAAGUCACACGGCCGUGUGUCUCCUGUUUCUAGGUAUUUUGAGAUUUCACCCUAAACUUCUAGAAUUGUUUCAAAUUAGUCCCUGCCUGUUUUUAGACUAUUUUAAGGUCCUGUAAACUUGUAUUAAGGAUUGUAAGAGUAACUUUUACUCUGUAUUGGUAUGAUAUAGCAUAAUUCAUUAUUAAAUUGCAUAGACACGAUUAUAGAAAUAUUAAAUUAGCAUACAUUACUCCUGUAUCAUGUGAUGUUAAUAUUUAGCUUGCACCAUUGCUUGUGAUGAAAUUAAAUGCUCUAAUUGGUUAGUAAUGCCCGUGACCCUAAUAUGACAUCGGUGAGGGUUUAGGGGUGUUACACCUUAUCUACUAAAUUUUCAUUACAUUGGUCGGCAUGUUGUCGGUCUUGCCCAUAAUUUAUGAAUUUUUCCUUUUUACGCUUGGGAUUUUACUCUUGAUUCCUCCUAUUUGCUUUAAGCUCCUUAAUGAGCUUUUUAUUACUUUCAUUUCUCUCAUUCGCCUGCUUUUGCCUUUCCAUAUGCUCCUAGAUGAAUUUUUGUUGUUCAUCAUAUUUAUUUUGUUAAGAAGGCAUUUGCUCCUUCAUAAUCCUUAAUCUUUCUUGCAUGUCCAAACAUUAUUGAGUAUCAGACUGAUAAUGCCGAGACCCUUGACUCGUCGGUGAUGCUUCAGUAUGGUGCUAGUUUUAGGGAUUAUAAUACCGUGAAGGAUAUUGAUGAAAACACUGGCAUGGAUUUUGCUAGUAGGGAUUUUUUUGAUUUUGGCUUUGUAGGUUAUUUUGAUUAUUGCGGGAUUAUGUUUUUGUUGCCAUGCAAUGAAUCUGAAUGUUGGGUUGCUCUAGCUUGGUUAACAUUUGCUUCUAUGUUGUGACCGACGAGAUUAGAAACUUGGCUAUUAGCUAGGUCAAACCUCUAUUGGGAUGAUCAUUCCUGAAUUUAACAUGGUUUGUCUACGCUUACUACACCAAUUGUCGACCAAUGAAUUAAGAAGGGAAGAGGAUGAUGGUUGAUGAAGAAUGAGGGAGUAUAAAGGUUGAAAGAAUUUUUGAUCUCGUGGAAAUAGUUUAGAGGUUUAGUGUGGGAAGUAUAUGAGAAUAAAACUAUGUGAGUUGUUUGUAUGACCCUUUUAUAGUGGGGGCAGACUUAGCUACGUGCCCUAAGAUUGUUGGUGUGAAAGUUUGAUUUCAUACCCUUGCAGUGGCGGUGAUGUGACGUCCUAGGACAAGACAUGUUAGGACAACUAGCAAUCAAUUACUUUGAGGCUCCACGUAGUUCUCAUAUUGCCUUAACGGAGGUGCACAGUUUUAAAGUUCAUCAAGUUAUGGUUAGCAAACUAGCUGUGAGUUCGCGGUAUCGUUGGUUCCAUUAAAAGACACGUGUUAAGCUUUUUAUAAGUGUUUUGUGAGGCUCGCAAGAUUUACUACACAAAGUAUAAUAUAUUUGCACAUUAGUUAUGAUGUGAGAUAGAGAGGCCCCAUGUUUAGGUAUAUAUUACAAUUAUUAUCAUAAAGUUAUAUUCUUGGUUCCAUCUCUAUGGUUUAAUAAUGGAGUCUUUUUUAAAGGAUGAAUGAUGAAUAAGAUACCUUAGUUGAUCAAACAACCCAAAUAAGGACAUUCAUAUAAGAACAUAAAUCCUUCAAAAAAAAAAACAUAAAACCUAACACCAUUAAAGAUCAUAAUCGAUGAACAUGUUUUAAGGGUGUUGUAGUGCUUAAGCUGUACAUACAAACAACACUUCUCCCUAUGAAAUUCAACUUCAAACUCGAAUCUAAACUAAUAUGACGUGAUGAUGAAAAAUUUAAAAUUUAAAUUUACAUAAACUCAAAUUAGCACAUUUACGAAACUAUUUAAAUUUGAAAUAAUUUAAAAUGAUUUAAUACUAAAAUUUUGAAUUCUAAAUCCAAAUUCUAAUGACUCGAACACAGAACAAGUUGAAGUUGAAAUUAAAAUUGGCACAAAGUCAACUUGAUUUGCAAUUUCUUUUUUGAACAUAACUACAAGUGCCAUACAUUUUAUGAUUUGAGAUUAACCUUGCUUGUAAUGACCCGAACUGAAAUUGGCACAAAGUCAAUAUCUUGUAACUAUAAGUGUCCUCUAUUUGGGCUAAGGAUUAUAUGGUUUGGGAUGAAUUCAAGCUUGAAACUCAUAUUGACAUAAAACCAUUUUUUUUAAGUGUCAUUUUGUUCAGGCUAAAGAUGGUAUGAUUUGAAAUCAAUACUGUUCGUAAUGACCUGAACACAAAGCAACCAUUGUUUUUUUCCGACAACUACAAGUGUCCUCUUCUUCUUCGGGCUAGAACAAUAUUUAGGUAAAAUAUUUUCAAUAAUAACAAAUCCAAAUACUUGGAGGAAUUCACUUCCAAGUCUCAUAACACUAUUGAUAAAGCAUAACAUGUUCGACGCUUUUAAAGAUAAUAAAUUCAAAGAGAAACAGUAUGGGAUAAUUCACUGAAAUUCGACAUUAACAAGAACUUUUAGAUAGUUGUAUUACAGAGUAUUGUAAUACUUUUUUUCCAGGAAAGUUUAUUUUUGAAGGAAAAUAGAUAUGCAAAGCCAGAAUCUGAAAGAAACACAAGCGAAAUAUACAAACUUCAUAUAAUAAUAGCUGUACUUAUUCACCAGGAGGAAAUGGAAAUAAGCAGCAAUAAAUGCAAUGAUUUACUGGACCAUCAUUAUGAAUAAUGGUGAAACUCCCCAUGGACCAUCAAGCUUUUAUAGCCGCCUCCAUGUAUGUGGGAUUUUCACACCCAUUACUUUUUACCACACCUCCGGUUCCGACACAGGUAUUUAUAAGGUUGCCACACCCACCGCCACAACCACCGCAACUACCACAGCCACCGCUCUCCUCCUUGAGUCCACAACCACUGCUAUUCACCAUGCUUCCACAACCUCCGCCGCACCCACCACAGCCAGAGCCACAGCCACUGCUAUUCACCAUGCUUCCGCAACCUCCGCCACACCCACCACAGCCAGAGCCACAACUGCCGCUAUUCACUAUGCUUCCACAACCACCCCCGCACCCACUACCGCAACCACCACCACAGCCACCACUCUUCACCAUGUUUCCACAUCCAGCACCACAACCACCGGCACCGUAAGCCGCCACUAUUCACUAUGCUUCCACAACCACCCCCACAUCCACUACCGCAGCCACUACCACAACCACCACUCUUCACUGUUGAAUAUUGGCAAUAUCCCACAUUAGGAAAAGAUAGAAAGGGAGGGGGUUUGGUUUGUUAUAUAUAGAACCCCUCCCCCUUUGGUUGUAUUAUCCCAAAAUCUUCUCCUUUGUAAUAUUUCUAGAAGAAAUAUUAAUUUGGUAGUGUCCGAGGACGUAAGCUAAAUUGGCCGAACCUCGUUAAAUCUCUGGUAUUUUAUUUCUUAUUUGUUUGCUUAUAUUUAAUAGCUUUAUGUUGGUUAUAUUUAUUUAGUUAUUAUUGCUAUAAAUAUCUAAGUGAGUUCUGUCUAGUUGUUGGGUUUUAAGCGGGACCAUUUGUGACCCCUCCAAUUUAACUGGGAAUUUUCUUAGUAUAAUUGUUGGCAUAAUAAUUAUCUAAAUAUUUCUGAUAAUAUUGUUAUUAAUAUUAUCGUCACUUCCGCAACAAUUGGUAUCCGAGCCAAGGUUUUGUAGUAUGCUCUGUGUUUGCAGCUUAGUCUGAUCUUACACAUCAGAAACAUUUCCUAAAGCUUGUGGGUAUUCUGCAUUUGGUGGCUAUUAAGUAGAAGCUAUGGCAAAAAUGACAGAAGAAAAACCAUCCAUAUCAACAACUUCCACUUCGUACAUUUUGCCGAGGAUUGGAACUGCAAAUACGAGAUUUGUAGUGGAAAUUUUUGAUGGAACAGGUCAUUUUGGCAUGUGGCAAAGUGAGCUUCUAGAUGCCCUCUUUCAACAGGGUCUAGAUAUUGCCAUUGAGGAAGAAAAACCAGAAGGGGUUGAUGAUAAAGAAUGGAAGACCAUCAACCGAUUGGCAUGUGGUACAAUUCGAUCAUGUCUUUCCAGAGAGCAGAAGUAUACAUUCAGUAAAGAGACUUCUGCAAGUAAAUUGUGGAAAGCAUUGGAGGAGAAAUUCUUGAAGAAGAACAGUCAAAAUAAGUUGCAUAUGAAGAAAAGACUGUUUCGUUUCAAUUAUGUUCCUGGUACCACGAUGAAUGAGCACAUUACCAAUUUUAAUCAGCUGGUGGCUGAUUUGUUGAAUUUGGAUGUGACUUUUGAAGACGAAGACUUGGCGUUAAUGUUGUUGGGAUCGCUUCCUGAGGAGUUUGAGUACCUUGAAACUACUCUACUUCAUGAAAAAUCAGAAGUAACUUUCAAUGAAGUAACUGCUGCAUUGUAUAGCUAUGAACUACGCCGAAAGGAUAAGUUGAAAGGUUCAGGUGAAGCAGCAGUGGAAGCAUUGGUAACAAGAGGUCGUCAGCAAAGUCAGUCUAAUGGGAAGAGAAGAAAGUCCAAAGGUCGAGCUGUUGCCAAAGAUGAAUGUUCCUUUUGCAAAGAAAAAGGACAUUGGAAGAAAGAUUGUCCAAAAUUGAAGAAAAAAGGGAAGACUCCGCAAGAUGCAAAUGUUGCAGAAUGCCAUAGUGAAGCAGAGUCAGACUUUUCUCUUAGUAUGACAUCUUCAACAUUAUAUGCAGAUGAGUGGAUCAUGGAUUCUGGUUGUUCCUAUCAUAUGUGUCCCAUUCGGGAAUGGUUCUUUGAAUUUCAAAAACUAGAUGAAGGGGUUGUUUACAUGGGUAAUGAUAACACAUGUAAAAUAGCCGGGAUAGGUUCAAUUAAACUGAGGAGUCAUGAUGGAUCUACUAGAAUUUUGCGGGAUGUACGAUAUGUCCCAAAGUUGAAGAAGAAUCUCAUCUCUUUGGGGUCGUUAGAAUCUGAAGGCCUAGUUGUGACAAUACGAGAUGGAGUUCUUAAAGCAACUUCAGGAGCAUUGGUGAUGUUGAAAGGCAUAAGAAAGAACAAUCUGUAUUACUACCAAGGUAGUACAGUGGUUGGGACAACAGCAGCAGCAAUUUCGAGUACCAAGAAGGACGCUGAGGCAACACAGCUGUGGCAUAUGCGUUUGGGCCAUGCUGGUGAAAAAUCCUUGCAAACUCUAGCCAAGCAAGGAUUAUUGAAAGGUACAAAGACUUGCAAACUUGAAUUUUGCGAGCAUUGUGUUCUGGGAAAACAACGAAGGGUGAAAUUUGGCACUGGGAUUCACAAUACUAAAGGUAUUCUGGAUUAUGUGCAUUCUGAUGUAUGGGGACCGUCCAAGACUCCAUCACUUGGAGGAAGACGUUAUUUUGUCACCUUUAUUGAUGAUUUUUCCAGACGAGUUUGGGUGUUUCCUAUGAAGAACAAAGAUGAGGUGCUUGAAGUUUUCCUUAAGUGGAAAACUAAAGUUGAAAAUCAGACAGGAAGGAAGAUUAAGGUUCUCCGAUCAGACAACGGUGGAGAAUAUAAAAGCGAUCCAUUCCUGAAGAUAUGCCAAGAUUGUGGCAUAGUAAGGCACUUCACCGUAGGUGGAACACCGCAACAGAAUGGGGUGGCAGAGCGUAUGAAUCGAACGCUUGUAGAGAAAGUUCGAUGUAUGUUAUCUAAUGCUGGAUUAGAUAGAAAGUUUUGGACUGAGGCUGUGACGUACGCUCAACAUCUCAUCAAUCAUUUGCCAUCAUCUGCUAUAAAUGGCAAGACUCCUUUGGAGAAAUGGUAUGGAAAACCUGCUACUGAUUAUGACACCUUGCGCAUUUUUGGUUCUAUUGCAUAUUAUCAUGUGAAAGAAUCAAAGUUAGAUCCAAGAGCAAAGAAGGCUCUAUUCAUGGGCUUCAAUGCUGGUGUUAAGGGAUAUCGUUUGUGGUGUCUAGAGGCAAAGAAGACGAUAAUCAGUAGGGAUGUUACCUUUCAUGAAUCUGCCAUGUUGAAUAAGGUAAAUCCAGAAGGAGUGAGUAGUACUUCGCAGCAGGUGGAGUGUACUCCGCAGCAGGUGGAGUUUGAGCAGAGUGUGGUAAUUCCAGCAGAAGGUACCACUAGUGAUUCUUCAUUGGCAGAUGCAGAGUCAGAUGAGGAAGAGGUUUCUACCCAAGAACCUCAACAGCAAUCAGAGCCAAUUGCAGUCAGAAGGCAGAGACGAGAAAUUCAGAAACCUGCUCGUUUCACUGACAUGGUAGCUUAUGCACUUCCAGUUGUUGAUAAUAUUCCAUCCACUUACACCAAAGCCAUUCAGAGUUUAGAGAAUAAUAGAUGGUUAGGUGCAAUGGAAGAGGAAAUGCAAUCUCUAGAGAAAAACAAGACGGGGAAGCUGGCACAACUACCAAAAGGGAAGAAGGCGAUUGGUUGCAAAUUUGAAGACACUAUUGAAGUUAGUGUUAUGAGAAGAUGUUCGAAGAUGUGGAAUAUCGCCAAGGUGGAGAUUUGUUGAAUAUUGGCAAUAUUCCACAUUAGGAAAAGAUAGAAAGGGAGGGGGUUUGGUUUGUUAUAUAUAGAACCCCUCCCCCUUUGGUUGUAUUAUCCCAAAAUCUUCUCCUUUGUAAUAUUUCUAGAAGAAAUAUUAAUUUGGUAGUGUCCGAGGACGUAAGCUAAAUUGGCCGAACCUCGUUAAAUCUCUGGUAUUUUAUUUCUUAUUUGUUUGCUUAUAUUUAAUAGCUUUAUGUUGGUUAUAUUUAUUUAGUUAUUAUUGCUAUAAAUAUCUAAGUGAGUUCUGUCUAGUUGUUGGGUUUUAAGCGGGACCAUUUGUGACCCCUCCAAUUUAACUGGGAAUUUUCUUAGUAUAAUUGUUGGCAUAAUAAUUAUCUAAAUAUUUCUGAUAAUAUUGUUAUUAAUAUUAUCGUCGCUUCCGCAACAUUCACAACGUUUCCACAUCCAGCACCACAACCACCGCAGCCACCACUGCUUACCGUGUUGCCUUUCUCACUUCCACAGUCCCCAUUGCAUGAACCAUCUUUUUUAGGUAUCACUGCAUUUUCUAAUGUCACAUCCGAAUGGACUUCAGUUUCCAUGGAGGCAUGCUGGUCGUUGUCA
rnacentral:lncRNA from 1 species